UGGAAAACUCAAAAUUAACUGUGACGUAGCUUGGAAGGAAGAUUUAUAUCUGUCAGCAAUUGCUGUAGUUCUUCGUGAUUAUAGAGGCAAGAUGAUAGAUGGAAUCUUUGAGAAAUUUUGUUGUGCCUCUCCUCUGUCAAGUGAAGCUCGAGCAAUGAUGACUGCUAUUCAUUUUGCACUAUCGAGAGGCUUUCUAUCAGUUCUUGUUGAAACUGAUUGUGCAAAUCUAUUUAAUGCAAUCCGGAAUCCAUAGAAGGUUGUAUUUUGGGAGAUCGUGCAAUUG
rnacentral:misc_RNA from 1 species